GGCCAAUUAGCUCAAUCAGUUCAAGUGUGGUGCUGAUAACACCAAGGUCGUGGGUUCGAUCCCCGUUCGGUCC
rnacentral:tRNA from 1 species